UACGUAGGUGACAAGCGUUGUCCGGAUUUAUUGGGCGUAAAGCGAGCGCAGGCGGUCUUUAAGUCUGAUGUGAAAGCCCACGGCUCAACCGUGGAGGGUCAUUGGAAACUGGAAGACUUGAAUGCAGAAGAGGAAAGUGGAAUUCCAUGUGUAGCGGUGAAAUGCGUAGAUAUAUGGAGGAACACCAGUGGCGAAGGCGACUUUCUGGUCUGUAAUUGACGCUGAGGCUCGAAAGCGUGGGGAGCGAACAGG
rnacentral:rRNA from 1 species